rnacentral:misc_RNA from 1 species
UAGCGAAAAUGCAAAAAAACAGUUGCAGCACAAACGCGACUGCACAAACCAAAUCUUGAAAGCUGUAAUGGCAAUUAACAGCAACACCUUAGCUGAUAUGGAGGUGCCUGAAUCAUAUGUUGAGAAUCUUCCUAAGAAUGGAAAAGCUAGCUUAGGUGAUCUUAUCCACCGAUAUAUAACCUCAGAUCAAUUUUCACCUGAAUGUUUGCUCGAAUGCCUUGAUUUGUCGUCUGAGCAUCAAGCAUUAGAAAUAGCAAACCGAGUAGAGGCCUCAAUUUACGUGUGGCGCAGAAGAACUCAG